AUUGAACGCUGGCGGCAGGCCUAACACAUGCAAGUCGAGCGGCAGCGGGAAAGUAGCUUGCUACUUUUGCCGGCGAGCGGCGGACGGGUGAGUAAUGCCUGGGAAAUUGCCCAGUCGAGGGGGAUAACAGUUGGAAACGACUGCUAAUACCGCAUACGCCCUACGGGGGAAAGCAGGGGACCUUCGGGCCUUGCGCGAUUGGAUAUGCCCAGGUGGGAUUAGCUAGUUGGUGAGGUAAUGGCUCACCAAGGCGACGAUCCCUAGCUGGUCUGGGAGGAAGAUCAGCCACACUGGGACUGAGACACGGUCCAGACUCCUACGGGAGGCAGCAGUGGGGAAUAUUGCACAAUGGGGGAAACCCUGAUGCAGCCAUGCCGCGUGUGUGAAGAAGGCCUUCGGGUUGUAAAGCACUUUCAGCGAGGAGGAAAGGUUGAUGCCUAAUACGUAUCAACUGUGACGUUACUCGCAGAAGAAGCACCGGCUAACUCCGUGCCAGCCGCCGCGGUAACAC
rnacentral:rRNA from 1 species